rnacentral:rRNA from 1 species
UACGAAGGGGGCUAGCGUUGUUCGGAAUUACUGGGCGUAAAGCGCGUGUAGGCGGGGCCUUAAGUCAGGGGGGAAAUGCCGAGGCUCAACCUCGGAACUGCCUUUGAUACUGGGGAUCUUGAGUCCGGGAGAGGUGAGUGGAACUGCGAGUGUAGAGGUGAAAUUCGUAGAUAUUCGCAAGAACACCAGUGGCGAAGGCGGCUCACUGGCCCGGAACUGACGCUGAGACGCGAAAGCGUGGGGAGCAAACAGG